UACACAGCAGGGUGAUGGUCUUUCUACAG
rnacentral:piRNA from 1 species